UAAAAUGUCAGAAAUUCCACAUUUUUGGCUAUAGCGUUAAUUACACAGAUGCCUCCAUAUCUGAUAUUCAUACUUGUGUCAAAGUCUACACAUCCUGUCAAUAUGGUGCUUUCUUCACAAAAUGCACAAUACUUUCACUUAUCAGGCCACUCAGGAUAGCCUGCUUGCAGGCUACCCUGGAAUUUACCAGGAAGCCUGGCACUAGUGCGUUCGGCUAAAUUUUAAUCAGGAAGGAAUUUAUAAAUCAACAGUUUACAAAUACUUUCGGUAUACAUUGUUGUUCUUGGUCGAUUUCUUCAAAAUUGCACCAUAUUUUGUCGAUACAAGUAUGGGUAAGCAUCCACUAUUAUUCAUAGAGUAAUCUCACAGCUUCUGGUUUAUUUUUAAAGACAAUAUGCUUGCAAUAAGGCCAAAUUUCGAAGGCCCCUAAUUGCUAUGUUUACAUAGGAUUGUAUCCCCCAGCGAACGCUAAACUCUCUGCUAUUUUUAAACAUUUUUACCCAUUUUCUCUGCAGGAACUGAGCGAAUAUCGUGUGGAAAAUGUCACAGAAAGUGCAGUGGACAAGUCCUCAAUGUUGGCGAUACUUAUUUUCAUAAUUAUUGCUUUACAUGCCAAA